rnacentral:rRNA from 1 species
GAUGAACGCUGGCGGCGUGCCUAAUACAUGCAAGUCGAGCGAACGGACGAGAAUCUUGCUUCUUUGAUGUUAGCGGCGGACGGGUGAGUAACACGUGGAUAACCUACCUAUAAGACUGGUAUCACUUCGGGAAACCGGAUCUAAUACCGGAUAAUAUUUUGCACCGCAUGGUUCAAUAGUGAAUGACGGUCUUGCUGUCACUUAUAGAUGGUUCCGCGCUGCAUUAGCUAGUUGGUAAGGUAACGGCUUACCAAGGCAAGGAUGCGUAGCCGACCGCAGAGAGGGAUCGGCCACACGGGAAGGGGAACACGCUCCAGAGUACUACGGGAGGCCGCAGUAGGGAAUCGUCCGCAAUGGGGGAAAACCUGACGGAGCAAGGCCGCGUGAGUGAUGAAGGUCUUCGGAUCGUAAUGCUGUGUUAUUGGGGAAAAACAGAUGUGUAAGUAGCUGUGGACAUCUUGACGGUAACUAAUAAGAAAGCCCCGGCUAACUACGUG